UACGGAGGGGGCUAGCGUUGUUCGGAAAUACUGGGCGUAAAGCGCACGUAGGCGGUGAAGUAAGUCAGAGGUGAAAUCCCAGGGCUCAACCCUGGAACUGCCUUUGAAACUGCUACACUAGAAUCAUGGAGAGGUCAGUGGAAUUCCGAGUGUAGAGGUGAAAUUCGUAGAUAUUCGGAAGAACACCAGUGGCGAAGGCGACUGACUGGACAUGUAUUGACGCUGAGGUGCGAAAGCGUGGGGAGCAAACAGG
rnacentral:rRNA from 1 species